rnacentral:rRNA from 1 species
GACGAACGCUGGCGGCGUGCUUAACACAUGCAAGUCGAGCGGUAAGGCCCUUUCGGGGGUACACGAGCGGCGAACGGGUGAGUAACACGUGGGUGACCUGCCUUUAGCUCUGGGAUAAGCCUGGGAAACUGGGUCUAAUACCGGAUAUGACUCCGCGGUGCAUGCUGUGGGGUGGAAAGCCUUGUGCGGCUGGAGAUGGGCCCGCGGCCUAUCAGCUUGUUGGUGGGGUGAUGGCCUACCAAGGCGACGACGGGUAGCCGGCCUGAGAGGGCGACCGGCCACACUGGGACUGAGACACGGCCCAGAACUCCUACGGGAGGCAGCAGUGGGGAAUCUUGCGCAAUGGGCGAAAGCCUGACGCAGCGACGCCGCGUGAGGGAUGACGGCCU